rnacentral:rRNA from 1 species
UACGGGGGGGCAAGCGUUGUUCGGAAUUACUGGGCGUAAAGGGCUCGUAGGUGGCCAACUAAGUCGGACGUGAAAUCCCUCGGCUUAACCGGGGAACUGCGUCCGAUACUGGUUGGCUUGAGUUUGGGAGAGGGAUGCGGAAUUCCAGGUGUAGCGGUGAAAUUCGUAGAUAUUCGGAGGAACACCAGUGGCGAAGGCGGCUCACUGGUCCAUUACUGACGCUGAGGUGCGAAAGCGUGGGGAGCAAACAGG